AUUGAACGCUGGCGGCAGGUCUAACACAUGCAAGUCGAACGGUAACAGGAAGAAGCUUGCUUCUUUGCUGACGAGUGGCGGACGGGUGAGUAAUGUCUGGGAAACUGCCUGAUGGAGGGGGAUAACUACUGGAAACGGUAGCUAAUACCGCAUAACGUCGCAAGACCAAAGAGGGGGACCUUCGGGCCUCUUGCCAUCGGAUGUGCCCAGAUGGGAUUAGCUAGUAGGUGGGGUAACGGCUCACCUAGGCGACGAUCCCUAGCUGGUCUGAGAGGAUGACCAGCCACACUGGAACUGAGACACGGUCCAGACUCCUACGGGAGGCAGCAGUGGGGAAUAUUGCACAAUGGGCGCAAGCCUGAUGCAGCCAUGCCGCGUGUAUGAAGAAGGCCUUCGGGUUGUAAAGUACUUUCAGCGGGGAGGAAGGGAGUAAAGUUAAUACCUUUGCUCAUUGACGUUACCCGCAGAAGAAGCACCGGCUAACUCCGUG
rnacentral:rRNA from 1 species